ACAAAAUCUGAAAAUAUUUUCUAUAUCCUUUAUGGGGAAUUGAUUAAAAUAUUAUAGAAUUUCUGUAAAGUAGAUUAUUAUGCCGGAUGCACAAAUGCUUUGCAUAUUAGCUUCUGCGAAGUGGGGCAACAUAAACUAAAGGAGAGUCCAGUCCUGCUAGACUUGUGCUUUUCCUUUUCUGAUGCAGUCUUCUAAGGAGAAUGGAGUUAUGGAGAGUGCGGUUGGAGAGCUCAUCGAUAGAAACAAAUGAGGAGGAAAAGGAGGAGUAAUGAGCUGAACCUAAGUGUGUCUGUGUUUGAUAGACUCUGAGGAGGAGAGUUUUUUGAAUAGAGAAGAUUUCUGGUAUCCACCAUCUGCCUCUGGCCAUGGACCACUCUCUGGACAAUUUCAGUAUGAAGGGCCCAGGAGGGCAGUAUUGAGAGGCCCAUAUACAAACCAUGCAAAUGACAAAUGGUUGUCUUCCCUGGCAUCCCCUGUCCUUGGACUUGUUUUCAGAACUUCUUGCCAUCUUCUUAGACUCUUGGUUCCUAAACUUAGAAUCCAUCCUUGUCUAGAAAAAUUCAAGAGGCUCUCAUGCUGCUACUUCC
rnacentral:lncRNA from 1 species